GGACUACUCGGGUAUCUAAUCCUGUUUGCUACCCACGCUUUCGCACCUCAGCGUCAAUCUCUGUCCAGGUGGUCGCCUUCGCCACCGGUGUUCCUCCCAAUAUCUACGAAUUUCACCUCUACACUGGGAAUUCCACCACCCUCUCCAGGAUUCAAGCUUUUCAGUAUCGAAUGCACUUCCACGGUUAGGCCGUGGGAUUUCACACCCGACUUAAAAAGCCGCCUACGCGCGCUUUACGCCCAGUAAUUCCGAACAACGCUUGCACCCUCUGUCUUACCGCGGCGGCUGGCAC
rnacentral:rRNA from 1 species